rnacentral:rRNA from 1 species
UACAGAGGGUGCGAGCGUUAAUCGGAAUUACUGGGCGUAAAGGGCGCGUAGGCGGUUAUAUAAGUUUUGUGUGAAAUGCCCGGGCUUAACCUGGGAUCUGCAUAAGAUACUGUGUAGCUAGAGUAGAGUAGAGGGAAGUGGAAUUUCCGGUGUAGCGGUGAAAUGCGUAGAUAUCGGAAGGAACACCAGUGGCGAAGGCGGCUUUCUGGACUCAUACUGACGCUGAGGCGCGAAAGCGUGGGGAGCAAACAGG